UUCCAUAGAAACAAUUAAUGAUUUAAAAAAAAACGCACCCGUUAUGCCAAAAAAUCAAAAAUAAUUCGUAGUAUAACCACCUGCUAGGAUAUUACGGUUUGUUUUGCGGUCCUUGAGUAAUAAUGAUUUCUUGUUCCUGCUCCAUACAUUGUUUUCGAAAAAAAAUCGUAACUCAACAAUUUUCAUUCCAAAUCGUCUAAAAUUCAUAGGUUACCAUAACAAUGCCUAGCAAAACCUAUUUCAAUCAAAAAAACAUAAAAAUAACAACU